rnacentral:rRNA from 1 species
UACGAAGGGGGCGAGCGUUGCUCGGAAUCACUGGGCGUAAAGGGUGCGUAGGCGGGUCUUUAAGUCAGGGGUGAAAUCCUGGAGCUCAACUCCAAAACUGCCUUUGAUACUGAAGAUCUUGAGUUCGGGAGAGGUGAGUGGAACUGCGAGUGUAGAGGUGAAAUUCGUAGAUAUUCGCAAGAACACCAGUGGCGAAGGCGGCUCACUGGCCCGAUACUGACGCUGAGGCACGAAAGCGUGGGGAGCAAACAGGG